AUUCUAUCUCUAUCAGCAAAAUAUCUACCACCAAAUCAACAAGCUAUCUAUCAUCAACAAGCUAUAAUCUUUAUCAGCACAAGCUAUAAUCUUUAUCACCAAAUCUCUAUCAACACAAGCUAUAAUCUCUAUCAGCAAAUCUUUAUCAGCAAAUCAACAAGUUAUAUAUCAAAAAUAAAAAUAAAUCUAUUUGUAUCUCAGACCGUUGCUGCAAUUUUCAGGCGGGAUCCAAACCAUUUUGCAGAGGCGGGAUCCAAACCAUUUUGCAGAGACAUCCGAUCAGCUGCUAGGAGACAUGAGCAUUUUAUGCAAGGAAAGCACAGAUUUGGACUCAUGUAACUUACAUCAAGUUUACCAAGUUUACCAAGCAAAGGCUGGAAAUAGCUUAUGUUACAAUGACUGCCAAAUCUGAGAUUUUUUCCCCCUUUAUUUUAGCUAGGUACCGAAGCAAGUUAGAUAUUGGAACACUUCUCUUUUGCUUUAGCCAAAUUGCGAAAUAAAGAAUAUGGAGUUUUCCGGUGGACACACAAAUUCUGAAUCUGAGGAAUAAGACAUGCACAAAAGACAAAAAGCUUGACAAGAAGUGUCUUGAAGAGGUAUGAAUUCAUAAUCAAGUUUGAUAUCCUUCCUAGCCAGUUAUGACAAAACCUGCGUACUUCUCAAUUUUCUGGUGUGCAAAUAUGCAUCAGCUAUGCAACCCAAUUGACUCGUUGAUGUACAAAAGAAGGAGGCCAGCUGUACUAAACAAAGUUAAAUUAAUAACAUUUACAAUCUCCAUUUAAAAUUA